rnacentral:rRNA from 1 species
GAUGAACGCUGGCGGCGUGCUUAACACAUGCAAGUCGAACGAUGAAGCCCAGCUUGCUGGGUGGAUUAGUGGCGAACGGGUGAGUAACACGUGAGUAACCUGCCCUUAACUCUGGGAUAAGCCUGGGAAACUGGGUCUAAUACCGGAUAGGAGCGUCCACCGCAUGGUGGGUGUUGGAAAGAUUUAUCGGUUUUGGAUGGACUCGCGGCCUAUCAGCUUGUUGGUGAGGUAAUGGCUCACCAAGGCGACGACGGGUAGCCGGCCUGAGAGGGUGACCGGCCACACUGGGACUGGGACACGGCCCAGACUCCUACGGGAGGCAGCAGUGGAGAAUAUUGCACAAUGGGCGCAAGCCUGAUGCAGCGACGCCGCGUGAGGGAUGACGGCCUUCGGGUUGUAAACCUCUUUCAGUAGGGAAGAAGCGAAAGUGACGGUACCUGCAGAAGAAGCACCGGCUAACUACGUG